UAGGAUCGCACGAAUCCAGUUCGGGCUUUGGUAACCCCGUCGUUUCAUCUGUCACCGAUGGCUCGCCACGUCGAGGGCCGUUCUUUUUGGAUUCGGAAGAGAUCGUAGCAAGGCGUGGUUGUUUCCUUUUCCCAACGGCCUGGUGCCGUCUGAGUCUACCUAUAUCGCGGUUUAAGCCGCCUAAUCGUAAGUAGCUCGUCGAUUCCUUCAUUAUUUUGUAUGGGUUUGUUAGUGCAGUGCUGAUUGUUUUUAUAUUAUUGCAGCUCGUUGGAUGUGAAUCGUCCUGUGCAGUUGAAGCCCCGGGUGCAUUGAAAUUAUGCAAGUCCUUUCCUACGCCCGCUUAUUGUCUGCCCCGGGGUUUCAAGAUUUACCGUCUUUAUUACAAGUGUACGGUGUGGCCUCAAGAUGCCAGCUUCUGCAAACCGAGCUACCAGUGGCAGGGAGCUGUGUUUGGCGUUUCCCUACUUCCACGUCGAGGUUCCUGGUCAACGUGGCGGUUGUAUUGUUUACGGUCUCUCGAAGUUUUGGAGGUUAGAUCGACCCUUUAUUUAAUAUUAAUUACUGAACCAGAGAUGCUGGUUCUGGCGCCCUCAUACCCCUUACUACCGCUUAAAUUUGUCCGUCAGUAGGCCGCUUCUACCAAAACAUUUUUAAAUAAGAGUUCGCUAUACCCAUAACUGUUCCCUCAACACUUAAAUAAGAGUCUGGUGCUCGUGUUAUUUAGAUAAGAGCUAGUUUACCUUAAGUUCCUGUUGUUAAGGCCCUUAAGGCUCUCCGGGUUAAUUUCAAAAUAAUUUGAAUAAAUGUUUUAACCAUA